rnacentral:rRNA from 1 species
GACGAACGCUGGCGGCGUGCUUAACACAUGCCAGUCGAACGGUAAGGCCCUGCUCUUGUGGGGUGACGGGGUGGCGAACGGGUGGAUAACACGUGAGUGACCUGCCCUUGAGUUGGGGAUAACUUCUGGAAACUGGGGCUAAUGCCGGAUAGGAACUCCUACUGCAUGGGGGGGGUUGGGAAGCUUCGGCGGUUGGGGAUGGAGUGGCGGCUUAUCAGCUUGAUGGUGGGGUAGUGGCUUACCAAGGCUUUGACGGGUAGCCGGCCUGAGAGGGUGACCGGCCCCACUGCAAUGGAGCUGCGACCCAGCCCCCUACGCGAGGCAGCGGUGGGGAGUAGUGCACAAUGGGCGGGAGCCUGACGCAGCAACGCAGCGUGCGGGAUGUCGUCCAGCGCUUAGGGAUCCGCUGCUCUCUGUCACGAGAAGUGAGUGACGGUACCGGGUAAAGAAGCACCGGCUAACUCCGUG